AGAGUUUGAUCAUGGCUCAGGAUGAACGCUAGCUACAGGCUUAACACAUGCAAGUCGAGGGGAGACGACAUCGAAAGCUUGCUUUUGAUGGGCGUCGACCGGCGCACGGGUGAGUAACGCGUAUCCAACCUGCCCACCACUUGGGGAUAACCUUGCGAAAGUAAGACCAAUACCCAAUGAUAUCUCUAGAAGACAUCUGAAAGAGAUUAAAGAUUUAUCGGUGAUGGAUGGGGAUGCGUCUGAUUAGCUUGUUGGCGGGGUAACGGCCCACAAGGCUACGGAUCAGUAGGGGUUCUGAGAGGAAGGUCCCCCACAUUGGAACUGAGACACGGUCCAAACGUCCUACGGGAGGCA
rnacentral:rRNA from 1 species